UUUAGCAAGUAUGUACUUUGUGGUUUUCAGACAUGAUGCUAUCGUACCUCGAUUACAGUCUAGUGCUCGCCUUGUUGAGAUACUUACUUCAUCGUAGUAGUCUGGAACUGAACCUGCACGAUCUCUAAGCAACACAGCUGGGGAAACGAUAUGCCAAUGUUCACCCUCAUCACCCUCCUGAGAACAGGAACCAUGGGGCACAUGGGUCCCCUCAGGAGACUACAAGAGAGAAAAGGAUUUUUGGACUGCCUUAUCUGACUGACUCUCUAAAGAUUAAAGAUGUACAAAAGAGUUAUCUCCAAGUUUAAGGCCAGCCACCUCAUGUUUCCAAGACAGCUGCUGGAGUGCCAGCCCUUAGACACAAGGCCAGACGAAGGUGUUGUUCUUCAACCUGCUAGAUUCUUCUUAGGAGAAUGCAGCGCAAGUGCUCGACUUCAGCUUUAAUUGCCAAGGCAUCCAUCUCAAAGAAGGCUCUCCUUCAAAGAUGGCGACCUCCAAGAAACACAUGGUCAGCCCCAGGACAAGACAGAGCCAGGCUACCUCACCCCACUGAGCCUCCUUGGUUUCAGAGAACUCGAUUUCAAUAACUGACCAUUUGGGCCACGUGCCUUUUCUUUUCUCACCUUUUUUGAAAUUCACCAAUAGUGAGUGAGCCCCUGAACUCUAGGCCCCUACUCUCCACCCCAGUAAAAGCAGAACCUCUGGCCUGUGCAUGCUCUCCCUCUAUCUGUGACCUCAUUGUGGGGCCCCCGGUGCACAGGGUAAUCUCCAAGUCUUGCAAGUCAGAAAUCUCUAUCUUUUCAAAGUUUCCUGAUGGUGGUUGCUACAGAGCAUCUUGCAAUCAUAGUAAGAACCACAAGGGCCGAUCCACCGACAACACUGGUCAUUGAUAGGCUGCGAAUGCGCUAAAACAACUUAUGUCAGCAGGAUUGCACGGUUGCUCUUGCAAUCAACUGAGGGGAAUGCCCUUUACCUGUUGUUUGCUCACUAGCCAUCCAACUCAGGGAACUAACCAUCUGGGAAACUGAGCAUGCUUGCCGGGGGUCUGUGGCACUGCUAUGUGCUCUUACGUAUUGCCUUCGCGAUAUGCUCCCUGCGGUAUCCAACCCAAAGAGUCAUGAUACAGUUACAAACAGUCUCUGCAGAGUGAUGUGAUCAAGGUCAUAGGCCUAAUGAGACAUUAAUUACAAAGUCCUUGAAGCGCCUGGUGGCUCAGUGGGUUGAGUGUCUGACUCUUGGUUUUGGCUCAGGUCAUGAUCCCAGGGUCCUGGGAAGGAGCCCCUUGUUGGGUUCUGCACUGAGCCUGAAGCUUGCUUGAACUUCUCUCUCUCCUUCUGCCCUUCUCGCUCACUCUCCAAAAAAAAAAAAAAAAAAAUUCUUUUAAGUCCCUAACUAACAUAGGAAAAGGUCUCCCACACCUUAAGGCUAAGGAGGGUAGAUUAGAUUGCAAGGGUAUUACUGCAAUAAAAAACCAGUGAGGGAAACCAGAGGGAAAACACAACAGAGGCCUUGGUUUUUGUAUCACCA